AACAAAACUAUUCGCCAGAGUACUACCGGCAACAGCUUAAAACUCAAAGGACUUGGCGGUGCUUUAUACCCUUCUAGAGGAGCCUGUUCUAUAAUCGAUAAACCCCGAUAGACCUCACCAUUCCUCGCUAAUACAGUCUAUAUACCGCCAUCUUCAGCAAACCCUAAAAAGGAAUAAAAGUAAGCGCAAUCAUAACACAUAAAAACGUUAGGUCAAGGUGUAACCUAUGGAAUGGAAAGAAAUGGGCUACAUUUUCUAAUACAAGAACAACUCACUACGAAAGUUAUCAUGAAAUUAAUAACCAAAGGAGGAUUUAGCAGUAAACUAAGAA
rnacentral:rRNA from 1 species